rnacentral:rRNA from 1 species
AUACGGUAGGUGGCAAGCGUUGUCCGGAUUUAUUGGGCGUAAAGCGAGUGCAGGCGGUCUUUUAAGUCUGAUGUGAAAGCCUUCGGCUUAACCGAAGAAGGGCAUCGGAAACUGGGAAACUUGAGUGCAGAAGAGGACAGUGGAACUCCAUGUGUAGCGGUGAAAUGCGUAGAUAUAUGGAAGAACACCAGUGGCGAAGGCGGCUGUCUAGUCUGUAACUGACGCUGAGGCUCGAAAGUAUGGGUAGC